rnacentral:rRNA from 1 species
AUGUCGCCGGCGGCGACGCGCAUCCUGCUCGCGGGCGCCCGGCGCCGCGGCCGCGGCCUCUCCACGUCGGCCGAGCCCUCCCCCUCCCCCUCCCUGUCCCCCUCGCAGCUCCCGAGCGGCAAGCGCUGGGACGCGGUGGUGAUCGGCGGCGGCCACAACGGGCUCGCGGCCGCCGCCUACCUCGCGCGCGCCGGCCGCUCCGUCGCCGUGCUUGAGCGUCGGGGCGUCCUCGGCGGCGCCGCCGUGUCCGAGUCGGACCUCGUCCCCGGCUUCCGCUUCUCCCGCUGCAGCUACCUCCUCAGCCUCCUCCGCCCCGCCCUCAUCCGGGAGCUGGAGCUGGAGAGGCACGGGCUGAAGCUCCUGCCGCGGAGCCCGUCGUCGUUCACGCCGUGCCUCGACGGCCGGUACCUGCUCCUCGGCCCGGACGCGGAGCUGAACCGCUCCGAGAUCGGCAAGUUCUCCAAGAAAGAUGCAGAGGCAUACCCGAGGUACGAGGAGCAGCUAGAGAAGUUCUGCAAGCUCAUGGACUUCGUCAUAGACUCGCCUCCACCGGAGCUGAGGCAGCUGUACCAUGCCUCCAUGGUCGACAGGAUGAAGGAUAAGGUGGACAAGUCAGUGUUCUGGAGCAAGCUUCUUGGCCUUGUGAUGCAACAGGGGCAACAGGACAUGGUGAACUUCUUCGACCUUCUUCUGUCGCCAGCGUCGAAGAUCUUGAAUAACUGGUUUGAGGGUGAUGUAUUGAAGGCGACCCUGGCGACUGAUGCCGUGAUAGGUACUAUGGCUGGUGUGAACACUCCAGGAUCAGGAUAUGUUCUCCUGCACCACAUCAUGGGGGAAACUGGUGGUCAACGUGGUGUUUGGGCGUAUGUCGAAGGUGGUAUGGGUUCAGUCUCAUCAGCUAUAAGCAAAGCAGCCCUCGAAGCAGGCGUGCAAAUUGUAACAAAUGCUGAGGUUUCGCAAGUAAUGGUCGAUGAAAAUACUGGAAAGGUGCAAGGGGUUGCUUUGGCUGAUGGAACCGAGUUGCACUCAUCAGUUGUGUUAUCAAAUGCCACACCAUAUAAAACAUUUGUGGACCUUGUGCCAGCCAAUACUCUUCUAGAGGAGUUCCUCUGUGCCAUCAAGACAGCAGAUUAUAGCUCCGCAACAACGAAGAUCAACGUUGCUGUUAAUGCGCUGCCACAGUUUCGCUGUUGCAAAAACAUCAACCCUAAAGGUGGCCCGGAGCACAUGGGCACCAUACACAUUGGAUCUGAAAGCAUGGAGGAAAUCGAUAUAGCAUACAAGGAAGCUGCAGGCGGCUUCUCAUCCACAAGGCCUGUUAUAGAAAUGACAAUUCCUUCAGUCUUAGAUAAGACCAUCUCUCCACCAGGUCAGCAUGUUAUUAAUCUGUUUGUUCAGUACACACCCUACAAACUGUCAGAAGGCAGUUGGCAGGAUCCGGCUGUUCGAAAAUCAUUUGCUGAGAGAUGCUUUUCCUUGAUCGAUGAGUAUGCACCACACUUUAGCUCAUCAGUGAUAGGCUAUGACAUGCUGACUCCACCUGAUCUUGAAAGGGAGUUUGGCCUAACAGGUGGCAACAUCUUUCACGGCGCGAUGGGCUUGGAUUCCCUCUUCCUAAUGAGGCCUGCCAAGGGAUGGUCAGAUUACAGAACCCCUGUGAAGGGGCUGUACCUCUGCGGCAGUGGUGCGCACCCAGGCGGCGGGGUGAUGGGUGCCCCGGGCCGCAAUGCCGCUGCUGUGGUUUUGGAUGAUCUCAAGGCAAGAUAG